AAGAAAGCCAUUCUCUGAAACCUUUCUGGGGCUGGAGCACUUGUCAAGAGUAAACAGAAAAGGAAUAAAGCUUGCCUCUUUUUUUGAAAAACCCAGCUGGACAAUGGGCAUAUUCAAUGGCCAAGGCCUCCUCUAAUUGCUGGCUUGGGAAGAACUGGAGAUAACUCAGCAAUGGAGAGACAAGGAGGGCUCCUAGGGAACAACUUGGAGACCGAGGAAUCUUGCUGAAUGCCAGCAGAAAAUCUGGAAGCAGAGCCAGUAUAAUUCAGCAUUACUGAGCCCACUGAGCUCUCCAGGGAAGUAUAAAUUGAGCACAGAAGCUCUGAAAUGGAUUGUAACCACAACAUCAGAGGUUAUAAGACCCUCAUUCCAGAGUGGUACUGCCCUGCGUCUGGGAAGAAGGAAGGCCACACAGAGAGACCAAGAAGAAUCCUAACAGACAGGGCUUGCUUGGUUUCCCCCUCAGUCUCUUACCGUUAGAUCAGACCUCUUUGGUCCUACCACGUUUCUACAUGGCUGUCCAUUCUUCAUCGAAUCUAAGAAUAAAAAUGGAUAGUUUUCCCUGAAAAAAAAAAAAAAA
rnacentral:lncRNA from 1 species